CCUACGGGAGACAGCAGUGAGGAAUAUUGGUCAAUGGGCGUAAGCCUGAACCAGCCAAGUCGCGUGAGGGAUGAAGGUUCUAUGGAUCGUAAACCUCUUUUAUAAGGGAAUAAAGUGUGGGACGUGUCCUGUUUUGUAUGUACCUUAUGAAUAAGGAUCGGCUAACUCCGUGCCAGCAGCCGCGGUAAUACGGAGGAUCCGAGCGUUAUCCGGAUUUAUUGGGUUUAACGGGUGCGUAGGCGGCCUUUUAAGUCAGCGGUGAAAGUCUGUGGCUCAACCAUAGAAUUGCCGUUGAAACUGGGAGUCUUGAGGAUGUUUGAGGAAGGCGGAAUGCGUGGUGUAGCGGUGAAAGGCUUAGAUAUCACGCAGAACCUCGAUUGCGAAGGCAGCCUGCCAAGCCAUGACUGACGCUGAUGCACGAAAGCGUGGGGAUCAAACAGGAUUAGAUACCCGAGUAGUC
rnacentral:rRNA from 1 species